AACGAACGCUGGCGGCAGGCUUAACACAUGCAAGUCGAACGCCCUAGCAAUAGGGAGUGGCGCACGGGUGAGUAACGCGUGGGAAUAUACCGAGUAGUGGGGAAUAACGUUGGGAAACUAACGCUAAUACCGCAUACGCCCGAGAGGGGAAAGAUUUAUCGCUAUUCGAUUAGCCCGCGUGAGAUUAGGUAGUUGGUGGGGUAAUGGCCUACCAAGCCUACGAUCUCUAGCUGGUCUGAGAGGAUGAUCAGCCACACUGGAACUGAGACACGGUCCAGACUCCUACGGGAGGCAGCAGUGGGGAAUAUUGGACAAUGGGCGCAAGCCUGAUCCAGCCAUGCCGCGUGAGUGAUGAAGGCUUUAGGGUUGUAAAGCUCUUUCGCCGAUGAAGAUAUUGACGGUAGUCGGAGAAGAAGCCCCGGCUAACUUCGUGCCAGCCGCCGCGGUAA
rnacentral:rRNA from 1 species